GCUACGAGAAAAAUCUAAUAUAUUAUUUUUAUGCCCCACCUAGGAUAGUAGAGGGGCAUUAUGUUUUCUGGUCUGUGCCUCCAUUCGUCCGUUCAUUCGUCCGUCUGUGCGUCCGUUCGCUUCAGGUUAAAGUUUUUGUUCAAGGUAGUUUUUGAAGAAGUUGAAGUCCAAUCAACUUGAAACUUAGUACACAUGUUCCCCAUGAUAUGAUCUUUCUAAUUUUAAUGCCAAAUUAUAGUUUUGACCCCAGUUUCGUGGUCCACUGAACAUAGAAAAUGAUAGUACGAAGUUCAGGUUAAAGUUUUUGGUCAAGGUAGUUUUUGAUGAAGUUAAAGUUACAUCUACUUGAAACUUAGUACACAUGUUCCCUAUGAUAUGAUUUUUCUAAUUUUAAUUCCAAAUUAAAGGUUUAACCCCAAUUUUCACGGUCCACUGAACAUAGAAAAUGAUAGUGCGAGUGGGGCAUCUGUGUACUAUGGACACAUUCUUGUUUUU
rnacentral:lncRNA from 1 species